rnacentral:rRNA from 1 species
AAUCAACGCUGGCGGCGUGCCUCAGACAUGCAAGUCGAACGAUUAAAGCUCUCUUCGGAGAGUGCAUAGAGUGGCGCACGGGUGAGUAACACGUAAGUAAUCUACCUUCGAGUGGGGAAUAACGUCCGGAAACGGACGCUAAUACCGCAUAAUGCAGCGGCAUCGCAAGAUGACAGUUGUUAAAGAUUUAUCGCUUGAAGAGGAGCUUGCGGCAGAUUAGCUAGUUGGUAAGGUAAUGGCUUACCAAGGCUACGAUCUGUAACCGGUCUAAGAGGACGGUCGGUCACACUGACACUGAAUAACGGGUCAGACUCCUACGGGAGGCAGCAGUCGGGAAUUUUGGGCAAUGGGCGAAAGCCUGACCCAGCAACGCCGCGUGAAGGAUGAAGUAUUUCGGUAU